CAGCCGCCGCGGUAAUACAGAGGAUGCAAGCGUUAUCCGGAAUGAUUGGGCGUAAAGCAUCUGUAGGUGGCUUUUCAAGUCCGCCGUCAAAUCCCAGGGCUCAACCCUAGACAGGCAGUGGAAACUACCAAGCUGGAGUAUGGUAGGGGCAGAGGGAAUUUCCGGUGGAGCGGUGAAAUGCGUAGAGAUGUGGAGGAACACCAGUGGCGAAGGCGACUCUCUGGUCUGUAACUGACGCUGAGGAGCGAAAGCGUGGGGAGCGAACAGGAUUAGAGACCCGUGUAGUCCCUGUCUCUUAUAC
rnacentral:rRNA from 1 species